UACGAAGGGGGCUAGCGUUGCUCGGAAUUACUGGGCGUAAAGCGCGUGUAGGCGGACGUGUAAGUCGGUGGUGAAAUCCCGGGGCUCAACCUCGGAACUGCCUUCGAUACUGCACGUCUGGAGCAUGUCAGAGGCGAGUGGAAUUGCGAGUGUAGAGGUGAAAUUCGUAGAUAUUCGCAGGAACACCAGUGGCGAAGGCGACUCGCUGGGACAUUGCUGACGCUGAGACGCGAAAGCGUGGGGAGCAAACAGG
rnacentral:rRNA from 1 species